GGACGUGAGGGAGAUCUGGCUGCGACAUCUGUCACAUCACUGAUCGCCACGGUUGAUCGGCUAUCUGGCUGCCUAGGCGGGUGACUCCUUCCUCCCUCACUGCCUCAAGUGCAUCCCUCCCUUCCUCCAUAGAGGAGAGGACUGCUCUUCGGUCAAAGGCAUGUCAAGGGCACACAAGUAGCUAUGCUCCCCUGCUAGACCCUCCAGACAAGCUCGCAAAGCCUCCAAACGUUUCAAACUCAAGCCUGUGCCACCCGCAAAACCAGAACCCAAAAACUUCAACAUUU
rfam:Pteropus alecto contig41800, whole genome shotgun sequence.